ACCCCCGGCCAGCAUCCGCCACCUCGGACCCACGGAGAGAGCUCCCGUGUUCUUGCACGGGAUAGAGCCGUCCACAGAGCAUGGAGAGCUCUGUGCUCCACAGAACGGUGGCGGGCAGGUGAGAGGCUGGUGGUCAGCCCGGGGAUCGGUCACCGCCAGCAGUCUAGCUCCCAGAAGGCUGCCUCCCUUUGGUUAGUGGACGUUCUAGGGGUGAAGCGGCCAGGAGUAGGAGCGCCCCAGUAGCAGCAGCAGACUUCAGCCCAGCGCGCUGGCCAGGAUUCCUGGAUGACAGGACACUGACAUCAGCCACGUGUUCAACGGCAGGAGUGGCAGGAGCUGCCCGCAGAAGCUUCUUCCAGUUCCUCCGCAGAGUCAUGAGGUGGCCUCCAUCACCCCUCCUCCUGCAGAUGGACCGUUGUUCCAUUUGAAGUCAAGGUCUGAUUAGAGGGAGCCCCUUAAAAGACCACAUCACUGUGAAAGAAGGGAAGCAGAAGAAUCACAGAAUUUGUACUUUUUCUUGUUCGUGAUGUUAGGUACAUUCACUUUGGACUUUUGGUGGAAAGCACUGACAGCUCUAAAUGGAAUAAUGAAAGAAGAGAAAAAUAGAAGUGUUUGCAAUUAUAUGU